AUGGUCCAUGAUCGGAGAGACAUUGUUGAGGAUGAGGGAGACAUCGUCCACGAUCAGAGACAUUGUCUAUGAUCGCAGAGACCUUGUCAAAGAUGAGAGAGACGUUGUCCUUGAUCAGAGACAUUGUCCCAUGCUUCGUAGAGACCUUGCGAUAGAAUCGGCGGAGACGGGGGUCACCGAUUUGACGGCACUGCCCGCGAUCAUGGAGACAUUGUCGAUGGUCACAGAGACGUCGUCUAUGAUCUCAGAGACAUCGUCCACGAUCACAAAGACAUUGUCCAUGAUCACAGAGACUUUGUCCAUAAUCUCAGAGACAUUGUCCGCGAUCACAGAGACGUAGUCCACGAUCACAGAGAGUCUUUGAACAAUGAAGAAGUUCUUUGAGAUCAGGACAGAGGCCUCCAGGCGUCGCCACUUUGCCUACGAUCGCAGAGACAUGGUCCAUGAUCGGAGAGACAUUGUUGAGGAUGAGGGAGACAUCGUCCACGAUCAGAGACGUUGUCCAUGAUCACAGAGACCUUGUCAAAGAUGAGAGAGACGUUGUCCUUGAUCAGAGACAUUGUCCCAUGCUUCGUAGAGACCUUGCGAUAGAAUCGGCGGAGACGGGGGUCACCGAUUUGACGGCACUGCCCGCGAUCAUGGAGACAUUGUCGAUGGUCACAGAGACGCCGUCUAUGAUCUCAGAGACAUCGUCCACGAUCACAAAGACAUUGUCCAUGAUCACAGAGACAUUGUCCAUAAUCUCAGAGACAUUGUCCGCGAUCACAGAGACGUAAUCCACGAUCACAGAGUGUCUUUGAACAAUGAAGAAGUUCUUUGAGAUCAGGACAGAGUCCUCCAGGUGUCACCGCUUUGUCCACAACAUCGUCCACGAUCACAGAGACGUCGUCCAUCAUCACAGAGACGUCGUCCAUGAUUGCAGAGACAUGGUCCGUGAUCGCAGAGACAUUGUCGAGGAUGAGGGAGACAUCGUCCACGAUCAGAGACAUUGUCUAUGAUCGCAGAGACCUUGUCAAAGAUGAGAGAGACGUUGUCCUUGAUCAGAGACAUUGUCCCAUGCUUCGUAGAGACCUUGCGAUAGAAUCGGCGGAGACGGGGGUCACCGAUUUGACGGCACUGCCCGCGAUCAUGGAGACAUUGUCGAUGGUCAUGGAGACAUUGUCGAUGGUCACAGAGACGCCGUCUAUGAUCUCAGAGACAUCGUCCACGAUCACAAAGACAUUGUCCAUGAUCACAGAGACUUUGUCCAUAAUCUCAGAGACAUUGUCCGCGAUCACAGAGACGUAGUCCACGAUCACAGAGUGUCUUUGAACAAUGAAGAAGUUCUUUGAGAUCAGGACAGAGGCCUCCAGGCGUCGCCACUUUGCCUACGAUCGCAGAGACAUGGUCCAUGAUCGGAGAGACAUUGUUGAGGAUGAGGGAGACAUCGUCCACGAUCAGAGACGUUGUCCAUGAUCACAGAGACCUUGUCAAAGAUGAGAGAGACGUUGUCCUUGAUCAGAGACAUUGUCCCAUGCUUCGUAGAGACCUUGCGAUAGAAUCGGCGGAGACGGGGGUCACCGAUUUGACGGCACUGCCCGCGAUCAUGGAGACAUUGUCGAUGGUCACAGAGACGCCGUCUAUGAUCUCAGAGACAUCGUCCACGAUCACAAAGACAUUGUCCAUGAUCACAGAGACUUUGUCCAUAAUCUCAGAGACAUUGUCCGCAAUCACAGAGACGUAGUCCACGAUCACAGAGACGUAAUCCACGAUUACAGAGAGUUUUUGUACAAGAAAGAAGUUAUUUGAGACCAGGACAGAGUCC